rnacentral:misc_RNA from 1 species
GUUGGAGAGAGAAAGGGACAAGUCUCUGGUUCUGGAUCCUAAAGUUACUAUCUUUCAAUAGAUUUCAGUUCGCUACUGGACUAAUUUAUCCUAAUUGGGCUGCUACGUACGUCUUCAUUAGUUCAAUUUUCUGCAGGAAGUUUGAAUAAAUUAGGAAACAAUGAAGAACAAUGAACGUCUUGCCAAUUUUGCUUUAGCAGGUUUAACAUUGGCACCACUUCUUGUGAAGGUAGACCCAAACUUAAAUGUCAUCUUGACUGCAUGCCUCACAGUCUAUGUUGGGUGCUACCGAUCAGUCAAGCCAACUCCACCUUCAGAGACGAUGUCUAAUGAACAUGCAAUGCGCUUUCCCUUUGUUGGGAGCGCAAUGCUAUUAUCUCUAUUCUUACUCUUCAAGUUUCUUUCAAAAGACUUGGUUAAUGCUGUGUUGACAUGCUACUUUUUCGCGCUUGGAAUCAUUGCACUUUCGGCAACAUUGUUGCCAGCAAUCAAACGAUACUUGCCAAAUCAUUGGAAUGAUGACCUUAUUACCUGGCAUUUUCCAUUCUUCCGCUCUUUGGA